GCGCCCAUAGUUCAACGGAUAGAACACCGGUCUUCGGAACCGGAUAUGGGGGUUCGAUUCCCUCUGGGCGUACCA
rnacentral:tRNA from 2 species